ensembl:snRNA U6 U6 spliceosomal RNA
GUGCUCCCUUCAGCAGCACACAUACUAAAAUUGGAAUGAUACAGAAAAGAUUAGCAUGGCUCCUACUCAAGAAUGACAUGCAAAUAUAUGAAGCAUUUUGAAAAAUA